UACAGAGGUCUCAAGCGUUGUUCGGAUUCAUUGGGCGUAAAGGGUGCGUAGGUGGCGCUGUAAGUCAGGUGUGAAAUUUCGGAGCUUAACUCCGAAACUGCAUUCGAUACUGCGGUGCUUGAGGACUGGAGAGGAGACUGGAAUUCAUGGUGUAGCAGUGAAAUGCGUAGAGAUCAUGAGGAAGACCAGUGGCGAAGGCGGGUCUCUGGACAGUUCUUGACACUGAGGCACGAAGGCCAGGGGAGCAAACGGG
rnacentral:rRNA from 1 species